rnacentral:tRNA from 1 species
UCGGGGAUAGCUUAGCUGGUAGAGCGACAGACUCUGAAUCUGUAGGUCCUAGGUUCGACCCCUAGUCCCCGAG